AGUGAACGCUGGCGGUAGGCCUAACACAUGCAAGUCGAACGGCAGCACAGUAAGAGCUUGCUCUUACGGGUGGCGAGUGGCGGACGGGUGAGGAAUACAUCGGAAUCUACUUUUUCGUGGGGGAUAACGUAGGGACACUUACGCUAAUACCGCAUACGACCUACGGGUGAAAGCAUGGGAUCUUCGGACCUUGCGCGAUUGAAUGAGCCGAUGUCGGAUUAGCUAGUUGGCGGGGUAAAGGCCCACCAAGGCGACGAUCCGUAGCUGGUCUGAGAGGAUGAUCAGCCACACUGGAACUGAGACACGGUCCAGACUCCUACGGGAGGCAGCAGUGGGGAAUAUUGGACAAUGGGCGCAAGCCUGAUCCAGCCAUACCGCGUGGGUGAAGAAGGCCUUCGGGUUGUAAAGCCCUUUUGUUGGGAAAGAAAAGCAGCAGGUUAAUACCCCGCUGUUCUGACGGUACCCAAAGAAGAAGCACCGGCUAACUUCGUG
rnacentral:rRNA from 1 species